CAAAUCUUUCCGUAAAUGUUCUUUUCUCUUGCGCCCUCGACUGAGAAGGACGUUUUCGUAUAUUACACCACGGAAGUUGCCAAGUUGUUGUUAUAAAAGUUUAUCAAAAUGAUCAAUAAUCUUACUAAAUUAGCUAGAGCAACGUUAAAACCCAAGCGAUAGCUAGUUGCGUGUGUAUUUGUAAUGAAAUUUUACUGAAAAAUAUGAGCUCCAAGCUCCGUCUACCAUGUGGUAGUGUGGUUCCCAACACCCGGCUGGCGGCUUGUGUCACAUCCGGCGGGUAAAGGCGUCAUCUGCGGCAUGAAUCCAGCGCACUGCCAAAAGGUACAUCAUGAAUCGGCAUGGAAAUAUACAGGCCUCCGUAGGCGAUUAUUCCAAGGAUAAGAGAAUGGCGUUCGAGUUUUCUAAUACACGAGGCCUUACGUUCGAUACUAGGAGGGACGCUACCUAAACAGAUUAAUUUCUGGUAUUAACGUUUUUCCAAUCGGAUUCGAUGUCAACCAGGUACAUCACAUCGAGCAUGGAGAUGGGUCAGGCACCACCAGCAGAUGAUUACAAUUCGCUAAGUAUAAUUGAUGAAAAAGAAAUCACAACGCGAUGCCCUGCGAGAAGUUUUUCGUUGCAACAGCCAUUUUUAAUAGUUCGAAAAAGGAGGGGAGGGGACAGCUUAUUUCCACAGCGUUGCUUGGUUUGGCACUGUGUCGACGAUCCUUCACUGAACAGCUGUAUUAAAAUAAUGGAGGUCGUCCCGUGAUCAUCGUCUUCUUACCAUCAUUAAUCGCGGAUAUUCUGCCCUUCUGCGACUGAGAGGACGCUAACUUUUUAUGGAAGAAAAUCAUCAGCUCUCAAUAUGGCUUCCGUUUAUGAAAGGUAUCUAAAAAUUCGUAUUAUUUAUCCUAGAAGCAUAGAAACCCUAGUGCGAGCGGUCGGCAACCUUGCGGUCUCUUUCGUCCAUCGUCCUUUUUAAGGAGUUAAGUUUUCCAAUUGAAAAUAAAUACACUGCCAAUGUAUUAAAAACAUUGAAACAGUUAACGAUAUUGGUUAAAAUGUCGAAUCUGACGAGGUUUAUAUUGUGCAAAAGAGGUAAAUUAUCACAAACUCCUUGAUCAGCAGGCUUCUGUUAAAUAUUCAUACAACAGAAAAGAUCAAGAGAGUGGUCUACGGUAGUUCAGUAUUUACAAAAGCGAAUUACAUUCCACUGUUUUUCAUCAAUAGAUGGAAGAUAGGAAAAUAAUGGAUCACAUUUACUUUUGCUAUAAUUUAUGGUACGAUUCUUGUGGAUCUUCUCAGUUACUUGUGUAGUAGUGUUUUCACUCUUUGAACCGUAUCGGUUGCCGUUCACUGUACUAGGACAGCUGUUCUAUGAUAACAGUAAUGAAAAAAAGUCGUUGAUGAAUUGUGCUCUUAUUGAUCCUGAGCUUAAAUGACGGAUUUCAUAGUCGGUUUCUUUCUCCUUGCCGUCUAUGAAAAAUUGAACCCUGAAACAUCUACCAUUUUUCCAUAUUUUACCUUGCGCAUGACAUUUCUGUAAUACUAAGCAAACAAUAUUUUUUUUUUGUAUUUUCUUUUCCAUCAAGCGUUCUGACAUCAUUGAGAUAUGAGUGGGGACGUCAUCAACGCUCUCGAUCGACGGCCAGCGUGUGAUAUGCUUCGGUGAUCCUCUUUUAUAUUGUGAUAACUCUCAUUGCAGAAAUAAAAAAAGCUACGUGUUAUAAACAAUGAAAA